GACGAACGCUGGCGGCGUGCCUAAUACAUGCAAGUAGAACGCUGAAGGAGGAGCUUGCUUCUCUGGAUGAGUUGCGAACGGGUGAGUAACGCGUAGGUAACCUGCCUGGUAGCGGGGGAUAACUAUUGGAAACGAUAGCUAAUACCGCAUAAUAGUAGAUGUUGCAUGACAUUUGCUUAAAAGGUGCAAUUGCAUCACUACCAGAUGGACCUGCGUUGUAUUAGCUAGUUGGUGAGGUAACGGCUCACCAAGGCAACGAUACAUAGCCGACCUGAGAGGGUGAUCGGCCACACUGGGACUGAGACACGGCCCAGACUCCUACGGGAGGCAGCAGUAGGGAAUCUUCGGCAAUGGACGGAAGUCUGACCGAGCAACGCCGCGGGAGUGAAGAAGGUUGUCGGAUCGUAAAGCUCUGUUGUAAGAGAAGAACGAGUGUGAGAGUGGAAAGUUCACACUGUGACGGUAGCUUACCAGAAAGGGACGGCUAACUACGUG
rnacentral:rRNA from 1 species